rnacentral:rRNA from 1 species
UACAGAGGUCUCAAGCGUUGUUCGGAUUCAUUGGACGUAAAGGGUGCGUAGGUGGCGCUGUAAGUCGGGUGUGAAAUUUCGGAGCUUAACUCCGAAACUGCAUUCGAUACUGCGGUGCUUGAGGACUGGAGAGGAGACUGGAAUUCAUGGUGUAGCAGUGAAAUGCGUAGAGAUCAUGAGGAAGACCAGUGGCGAAGGCGGGUCUCUGGACAGUUCCUGACACUGAGGCACGGAGGCCAGGGGAGCAAACGGG